CAGUAGCCGCGGUAAUACGAAGGGGGCUAGCGUUGUUCGGAAUUACUGGGCGUAAAGGGCGCGUAGGCGGCCAUUCAAGUUAGAUGUGAAAGCCCUGGGCUCAACCUAGGAAUUGCAUUUGAUACUGUUUGGCUUGAGUUCGGGAGAGGUGAGUGGAAUUCCCAGUGUAGAGGUGAAAUGCGUAGAGAUCGGGAGGAACAUCAGUGGCGAAGGCGGCCAUCUGGGACAACACUGACGCUGAGGCACGAAAGCGUGGGGAGCAAACAGGAUUAGAUACCCGAGUAGUCCCUGUCUCUUAUAC
rnacentral:rRNA from 1 species